rnacentral:lncRNA from 1 species
UUUGGUUAUGUAGCUCAUCUUCUGAAUCUGAAUGCUUACCAGGGUUUUUCUCACUUCGACUUCUUCUGUUAUGUAGCUCAUCUUCUGAAUCUGAAUGCUUACCACGGUUUUUCUCACUUCGACUUCUUCUGUUAUGUAGCACAUCUUCUACAUCUGAACGCUUACCACGGUUGUUCUCACUUUGACUUCUUCUGUUAUGUAGCACAUCUUCUACAUCUGAACGCUUACCACGGUUGUUCUCACUUCGACCUGUGUUAUGUAGCUUGUCUUCUGAAUCUGCAUGCUUAAUACGGUUCUUCUCACUUCG